UACGUAGGUGGCAAGCGUUGUCCGGAUUUACUGGGUGUAAAGGGAGCGUAGACGGCAGAGCAAGUCCGGAGUGAAAGCCUGGGGCUCAACCCCGGGACUGCAUUGGGAACUGCCCUGCUGGAGUGCCGGAGGGGCAGGCGGAAUUCCUAGUGUAGCGGUGAAAUGCGUAGAUAUUAGGAGGAACACCAGUGGCGAAGGCGGCCUGCUGGACGGUGACUGACGCUGAGGCUCGGAAGCGUGGGGAGCAAACAGG
rnacentral:rRNA from 1 species